GAAAGCUUUCGCGGUAUGGGAUGGGCCCGCGUCUGAUUAGGCAGUUGGCGGGGUAACGGCCCACCAAACCGACGAUCAGUAGCCGGCCUGAGAGGGCAACCGGCCACAUUGGGACUGAGACACGGCCCAAACUCCUACGGGAGGCAGCAGUGGGGAAUAUUGCACAAUGGGGGGAACCCUGAUGCAGCGACGCCGCGUGGGUGAAGGAGUAUUUCGGUAUGUAAAGCCCUAUCAGCAGGGAAGAACAAUGACGGUACCUGACUAAGAAGCACCGGCUAAAUACGUGCCAGCAGCCGCGGUAAUACGUAUGGUGCAAGCGUUAUCCGGAUUUACUGGGUGUAAAGGGAGCGCAGGCGGCGCGUUAAGCCUGGUGUGAAAGCCCGCGGCCCAACCGCGGGACUGCAUUGGGAACUGGCGCGCUGGAGUGCCGGAGGGGUAGGCGGAAUUCCUAGUGUAGCGGUGAAAUGCGUAGAUAUUAGGAGGAACACCAGUGGCGAAGGCGGCCUACUGGACGGUGACUGACGCUGAGGCUCGAAAGCGUGGGGAGCAAACAGGAUUAGAUACCCUGGUAGUCCACGCCGUAAACGGUGAAUACUAGGUGU
rnacentral:rRNA from 1 species